GCCGCUGUAGCUGAGACGGAUUAGCGCCUGUCUGAAGAACAGGAGGAGGAAGGUUCGAUACCUUCCGGCGGCACCA
rnacentral:tRNA from 1 species